AAUGUAGAUUGUUAAUAUCCUUUCGGCUGCCUAUAACCCUCUUAUCCCGUUAGGUUGAUCCUCGUGCAGAAAGAAUUUCAGUCAGUGCUACUUUUCAUCCUGGUUGCACAUUGAUUAACACGAGAAUUUUUAAAAUUAUUUUUAUUGAAGUAUAGUUGAUUUAUAAUAUUGUGUUAGUUUCUCAUGGACAGCAAAAUGAUUUGGUUAUCACUUUUUCAGAUUCUUUUGUUAUAGGUUAUUAUAAAAUAUUGAGCAUAGCUCUUUGUGCCACACAGUAGGUCCUUUUUGUUUACCAAUUUUAUAUAUAGUAGUUUGGAUAUGUUAUUUCUGAUUUCCUAACUUAUCCCCCUCCAGGACCUUUUUCCUUUGGUAAGAAGUUUGUUCUCUAUGACUGUGAGUCUGUUUAGUAAAUAAGUUUAUUUGAAUCAUUUUUUAGAUUCCACAUAUAAAUCAUAUCAUAUUUGUCUUUCUCUGUCUGACUUACUUUAGUAUGAUAAUCUCUAGGUCCAUCCUGGUCGCUUCAGUCAUGUCCAACUCUUAGUGACCCUUUGGACUGUAGCCCACCAGGCUCUUCUGUCCAAGGGAUUCUCCAGGCAACAAUACUGGAGUGGAUUGCCAUGCCCUCCUCUAGGGGAUCUUCCCAAUUCAAGGAUCGAACCCCCAUCUCUUAUGUCUCCUGCAUUGGCAGGCAGUUUCUUUACCACUAGUGCCACCUGGGAAGACCAAUAUUUGGAGCUCUGUAUAAUAAGGAGAUAGUGCAUAAUUAUUUCAUCAAUUCACUGCCUUCUAUUCACCAUGAAUUUCUCCAUGUUGAUGAUAGGCUGAACACAUACUGAAAGUUUUCUCACAUUUCUUAUAUUUAUAGCGUUUUUCCCCUGCAUGAGUUUUCUGGUGUUGAAUAAGAGAAGAACUCUGGCUAAAGGCUUUGUCACAAUCAUUGCAUUUAUAUGGUUUCUCUCCAGUGUGGAUUCUCUGAUGCUGGAUAAGGGAUGAGCUCCGGGUGAAGGCCUUUCCACAUUCAGUACAUACAUAGGGUUUCUCUCCUGUGUGAAUCCUCUGAUGUAGGAUAAAAGCUGAGUAGUAGCUGAAGGACUUGCCACACUCACUGCACUUCCAAGGCUUUUUCACUGAGUAAAUGUUCUGAUGUUUAAUUGGGUUCGAACUUUCCCCGAUUUCAGUACAAUCCUCCAUAGGAUUUCUCUUGUGCUUAAUUAUGACUUGCCUUAAAUCUUUCUUCAGAUUUCCUUGCUGCCUUUCUAACAUGCCUCCACAUUCCCAGGUUUUUAUCCAUCUGGAGUCCCAGGAAUCAUCCUUUAUAAGUCUUUCUAUUAUCAGCUCCCUUUCUGAUGAUACUCCUUCAGAACCUUCCUGCAUUGAAAGGGACACUUUAGUUUCAGGUGUAGAUUCAGAAUCUGAAAUAA
ensembl:lncRNA